GCUCGUGUCGGUUACCGGUUAGGCCACCUGUCUUUCAAACUGGAAAAACGAGUUCGACUCUCGUCGCGAGCA
rnacentral:tRNA from 2 species